UUCCAUUGAUGAGAAAUAUAAAGAGGGAUCCUGCAAUUUUAAAACGCCUGACCCUUGGCCCCGUAGGUUGCUUCUCCUUAGGAGUGUUCACCCUUGGAGUCUGGGAAUUUUGGAUAUUUCUCUUCAUUCCACGCUGUCUUCGUCUUCUACUGCGACUUCCAAAGGGUCUCCACUUGCACUUUUUCUUUCCAUUGCCAAAUAGUCCUAACAACCAAGCCUGGUCUCCUCCGCAUUCCAACAUAUGCCUAUGCAACUCUGGUAGAGUGGUACAGUUCUUGGAACACUUGGUGCACACCUUUUCCGCUAAGAUAGCUGUCCUCGCCUUUGUCGUGGGUACAUCCUUUCCUGGCAGAAACAGGUGCUUGUAAAGCUCCCUUUGGUCACCAGAAAACUCGAAGUGGGAACACCAGACGUUUGGGUGCGUGAUCACUUUGUGGUCCUCCAUUUCUUUCAAAGUUACCUGU
rnacentral:misc_RNA from 1 species